GAGUCUGUCAUGAGCCUGGGUAGACAGAGUAAAGAUUUCUAGGAAUCCAGGGAUUGUGUGACCCUAUCCCUUUCUGUCAUCUGCCAGCCCUUGUGAAGGAGGUCUGUUGAUUGCAUGUUGAUAUUGGUAUCAAUCAGAUCAUGGAGGAAGUUGCUUUCCUUAACAUUUGGCACACUUGUAGUUUUCUUUGCCUUUUUGUCAUGGAUCACAAAGUCUCUGCUGGAAUCUGUAGUUGUGGGAGUCCCUCAGUUCUCACU
rnacentral:lncRNA from 1 species